CCUAUAAAAUUAUUUGUAGAGAAGUGUGAAUAAUACUGGGUGUAUCACAGAGGCCUGCUGGGCUCCACAAACCCUGUGUGAGGGGAAAAACAGAAUGCUCAGUGCAGGAUCUGUGCCGCUACUGUGGUGCUUCAGAGGGAGCCAGAAAGCAAAACAGCACAGGUACUUUGGAUCCAACUCUGACUUCUCCAGAGCAUCUCACCACCUACACAAGAGUGGAAAAGCACCAGUUUCCUCAUCGUAAGGUAUCUGCUGUCUGUAAAGCUUUAUUUCAGAUAGGAACACGUACCCUUGGAGAAAUUUCAGAGGGCAAGUUCCAGCUGUGGCAGUGCCCAAUCAAAAGGCUGCAAGAGGUUUUUUUUCUUCCCCCAGCACUGGCCUGGAGAAGGAGACAAGUGUCCCGAGGAUACAAGGUGCCCCAACUUCAUGGACGCUGGCAGAUACCUUGGCUGUGUGUUUUGGAGUAUUUACUAUUGGUGGGUUGGUAAAUACAAUGACAGGGGUGUUCAAUCCCACGGACGCCGGCAGAUCCCUGGCUGUGUUUUGGGGUAUUUACCGUCAGCUGGAGAGCCGGGCUCCAGC
rnacentral:lncRNA from 1 species